rnacentral:rRNA from 1 species
AUUGAACGCUGGCGGUAUGCUUAACACAUGCAAGUCGAACGGUAACAGGCCUUCGGGCGCUGACGAGUGGCGGACGGGUGAGUAACGCGUAGGAAUCUGCCUUAUAGUGGGGGACAACGUGGGGAAACCCACGCUAAUACCGCAUACGCCCUACGGGGGAAAGCGGGGGAUCGUAAGACCUCGCGCUAUGAGAUGAGCCUGCGUUAGAUUAGCUAGUUGGUAGGGUAAAGGCCUACCAAGGCGACGAUCCCUAGCUGGUCUGAGAGGACGAUCAGCCACACCGUGGACUGAGACACCGGCCCAGACCUCCGUACGGGGAGGCUCG